GCGGCGAUAGCUCAGUGGGUAAAACGCCAGGUGGGAGACAACGAUCACUCCGAGAGGUAUUAUCCGCGCGGGUUCGAAUCCCGCCUGUGGCA